rnacentral:misc_RNA from 1 species
AAAUAGUCGACCUAUUAGAAGUAAGAACUAGAAGUCAACAGAAGUUAUAUAGCAUUAGGAUAUAUUUGAUAGAAUUAGCUCAGCCCCUGAGGUGAAGAGCAGCUUCAGUUUCCAACAUCGAAUUCCAACCGAUGGUGAAGCUAGCAUCUUGAGAUUUUUGUGAAAUUGAAUAGUUUAUCUCAACUAUUGCAAAUCCAACGAAGGAAUGAACCUUGAACUUCUCAAGCAAGAUAGUGAUGGAGUUAGAUGAGACAUAAGAGAGAAUGUGGUGACAACAAUGAAGAUGGCAAGAGGGAGGGGACAAAUGGUGCA